rnacentral:lncRNA from 1 species
CCAAUGACAACCACCAAGGCGUCCCAGAGCCACCCCUUCCAACCCAUAUCUUCCUUAUGAGCCAUCCAAUGGAACAAAGCAGGCAGCACAAAUCCUAAUACCACACAAACACUACUCCCAACAAGUGACAAGAAAUCGGCAAAAUUAGGUACCAAAAGGGCAAUGAAGGUCAAUACCAAAACCAUCAACCAUCUCAGCCACAAUGUAUACCUUCCUUCACAAACCCUCCUCUCCACAACCUCAUAAACCGGAUUCAUCAUCAACGGGAAGGAGAAAAAGAGAUUCACACAUAACCCGAGCUGAACAAAAGUACUCAACAAUCCCGAACCCAUGUUGGUGGUAAUUAUAUCUCUAGUAUCCUCCCCAAAUGCGAAAUAACCCAAAACUCCAAAUGAACCAAACAUCAAAGAAAUAAAAGCCAUUGCCAAUGCCAAAGUGAUCCCAAACUUGUCCUUGUCUCGUAUCUCCGAUUCCAGAGGCAAAACCNCACCCCUUCCAACCCAUAUCUUCCUUAUGAGCCAUCCAAUGGAACAAAGCAGGCAGCACAAAUCCUAAUACCACACAAACACUACUCCCAACAAGUGACAAGAAAUCGGCAAAAUUAGGUACCAAAAGGGCAAUGAAGGUCAAUACCAAAACCAUCAACCAUCUCAGCCACAAUGUAUACCUUCCUUCACAAACCCUCCUCUCCACAACCUCAUAAACCGGAUUCAUCAUCAACGGGAAGGAGAAAAAGAGAUUCACACAUAACCCG